CCUACGGGAGGCAGCAGUGGGGAAUAUUGGACAAUGGGGGCAACCCUGAUCCAGCCAUGCCGCGUGUGUGAAGAAGGCCCUCGGGUUGUAAAGCACUUUCAGUGAGGAAGAACGCCUGGUGGUUAAUACCCAUCAGGAAAGACAUCACUCACAGAAGAAGCAACGGCUAACUCCGUGCCAGCAGCCGCGGUAAUACGGAGGGUGCGAGCGUUAAUCGGAAUUACUGGGCGUAAAGCGCGCGUAGGUGGCUUGAUAAGCCGGUUGUGAAAGCCCCGGGCUCAACCUGGGAACAGCAUCCGGAACUGUCAAGCUAGAGUGCAGGAGAGGAAGGUAGAAUUCCCGGUGUAGCGGUGAAAUGCGUAGAGAUCGGGAGGAAUACCAGUGGCGAAGGCGGCCUUCUGGACUGACACUGACACUGAGGUGCGAAAGCGUGGGUAGCAAACAGGAUUAGAUACCCGAGUAGUC
rnacentral:rRNA from 1 species